AGAGGGGGAUAACAUUCUGAAAAGAAUGCUAAUACCGCAUGACAUAUCGGAACCACAUGGUUCUGAUAUCAAAGAUUUUAUCGCUUGAAGAUGGACUCGCGUCCGAUUAGUUAGUUGGUGAGGUAACGGCUCACCAAGACCGCGAUCGGUAGCCGGACUGAGAGGUUGAACGGCCACAUUGGGACUGAGACACGGCCCAGACUCCUACGGGAGGCAGCAGUGGGGGAUAUUGCGCAAUGGGGGCAACCCUGACGCAGCAACGCCGCGUGAAGGAUGAAGGUUUUCGGAUUGUAAACUUCUUUUAUUAAGGACGAAAAAUGACGGUACUUAAUGAAUAAGCUCCGGCUAACUACGUGCCAGCAGCCGCGGUAAUACGUAGGGAGCAAGCGUUGUCCGGAUUUACUGGGUGUAAAGGGUGCGUAGGCGGCUUUGCAAGUCAGAUGUGAAAUCUAUGGGCUCAACCCAUAAACUGUAUUUGAAACUGUAGAGCUUGAGUGAAGUAGAGGCAGGCGGAAUUCCCCGUGUAGCGGUGAAAUGCGUAGAGAUGGGGAGGAACACCAGUGGCGAAGGCGGCCUGCUGGGCUUUAACUGACGCUGAGGCACGAAAGCGUGGGUAGCAAACAGGAUUAGAUACCCUGGUAGUCCACGCUGUAAACGA
rnacentral:rRNA from 1 species